rnacentral:rRNA from 1 species
ACUACACGGGGUGGUAACAGACGACAUGGAUACUUCCACGCCUUUGGUGUGGAUAUAUGGGCAAUCCGCAGCGAAGCCUCUAAGUCCGGCCGCCGGAUAUGAGGAACGUUCACAGACUAAGUGGAAGUGGGUGGAGCGUUUGCCGCUCUGCUUAAGAUAUAGUCGGGCCCCUUGGGAAACCAAGGGGGUGAGUACACUGCUUGAAAUUCAAACAGGAACGUGCCCGGUCUCGGAGAGCGCUCGUGUUAUAGAAUUUCGAGACUGUCGAUUGCCUCGCGGUUUGACAGCUCUUAAAACGUUCCGUAGGUGAACCUGCGGAAGGAUCAUUACAGAAAGUAAACGCGGGUCAAACCGCGGACUUCUAAACCUUUGACGAUCGACUCAUGUUGCCUCGGCGGGUUCGCCCGCCAGAGGAUACAUCAAAACUCCUGUUUUAACGGUGUUGUCUGAGCUACAAGCAACGAAUCAAAACUUUCAACAACGGAUCUCUUGGUUCUGGCAUCGAUGAAGAACGCAGCGAAAUGCGAUAAGUAGUGUGAAUUGCAGAAUUCAGUGAAUCAUCGAAUCUUUGAACGCACAUUGCGCCCCUUGGUAUCCCGAGGGGCAUGCCUGUUCGAGCGUCAUUUCACCACUCAAGCCUGGCUUGGUGUUGGGCGACGUCCGCUUUUGGGGACGCGUCUCGAAACGCUCGGCGGCGUGGCACCGGCUUUAAGCGUAGCAGAAUCUUUCGCUUUGAAAGUCGGGGCCCCGUCUGCCGGAAGACCUACUCGCAAGGUUGACCUCGGAUCAGGCAGGGAUACCCGCUGAACUUAAGCAUAUCAAUAAGCGGAGGAAAUCG